rnacentral:rRNA from 1 species
ACGCUGGCGGCGUGCCUAAUACAUGCAAGUCGAACGCACGAAGUUGAAGAGCUUGCUCUUUAACCAAGUGAGUGGCGGACGGGUGAGUAACACGUGGGUAACCUGCCCAUUAGAGGGGGAUAACAUUCGGAAACGGAUGCUAAUACCGCAUAGUUUCAGGAAUCGCAUGAUUCUUGAAGGAAAGGUGGCUCCGGCUACCGCUAAUGGAUGGACCCGCGGCGUAUUAGCUAGUUGGUGAGGUAAUGGCUCACCAAGGCAAUGAUACGUAGCCGACCUGAGAGGGUGAUCGGCCACACUGGGACUGAGACACGGCCCAGACUCCUACGGGAGGCAGCAGUAGGGAAUCUUCCGCAAUGGACGAAAGUCUGACGGAGCAACGCCGCGUGAGUGAAGAAGGUUUUCGGAUCGUAAAACUCUGUUGUUAAAGAAGAACAAGGAUGAGAGUAACUGCUCAUCCCCUGACGGUAUUUAACCAGAAAGCCACGGCUAACUACGUGCCAGCAGCCCGCGGUAAUACGUAGGUGGCAAGCGUUGUCCCGGAUUUAUUGGGCGUAAAGCGAGCGCAGGCGGUUCUUUAAGUCUGAUGUGAAAGCCCCCGGCUCAACCGGGGAGGGUCAUUGGAAACUGGAGAACUUGAGUGCAGAAGAGGAGAGUGGAAUUCCACGUGUAGCGGUGAAAUGCGUAGAUAUGUGGAGGAACACCAGUGGCGAAGGCGACUCUCUGGUCUGUAACUGACGCUGAGGCUCGAAAGCGUGGGGAGCAAAC